AACGGAGAGUUUGAUCCUGGCUCAGGACGAACGUUGGCGGCACGCCUAAUGCAUGCAAGUCGAACGAAAUCCCACCGCUUGCGGUGGUGUAUUUAGUGGCAGACGGCUGAGUAACGCGUAACUAAUCUGCCUUUGGGAGGGGAAUAACAAAGGGAAACUUUUGCUAAUACCCCGUACGAUCUAUAUUUUACUUUUUAUAGAUGAAAGGUGUCUUUGGCAUCGCCCUUAGAUGAGGUUGCGUACUAUCAGGUAGUUGGUGGGGUAAUGGCCUACCAAGCCUAAGACGGUUAGCUGGUGUGAGAGCACGACCAGCCAGAGGGGGACUGAGACACGGCCCCCACUCCUACGGGAGGCAGCAGCAGGGAAUCUUCCGCAAUGGGCGAAAGCCUGACGGAGCG
rnacentral:rRNA from 1 species